GGGGCUGAUCAGGAUUCGACGGGAUACACGAAACCCAAGGUGCAUGCCGAGGUGAGGCUGGCCUCGUAAAAAGCCUCAACUUUAUAGUUGCAAACGACGACAACUACGCUCUAGCGGCUUAAUAACCCGCUAAGCCCGUCCCCCAGCG
rnacentral:tmRNA from 1 species